GAUGAAGAACGCAGCGAAAUGCGAUAAGUAAUGUGAAUUGCAGAAUUCAGUGAAUCAUCGAAUCUUUGAUCGCACAUUGCGCCCCCCAGUAUUCUGGCGGGCAUGCCUGUUCGAGCGUCAUUUCAACCAUCAAGCCCUGCUUGUGUUGGGGUCCUGCGGCUGCCCGCAGGCCCUGAAAACCAGUGGCGGGCUCGCUAGUCACACCGAGCGCAGUAGCACAUCUCGCUCAGGGCGUGCGGCGGGCUCCAGCCGUUAAAGCACCCACCUUUCGCAAGGUUGACCUCGGAUCAGGUAGGAAUACCCGCUGAACUUAAGCAUAUCAAUAAGCGGAGGA
rnacentral:misc_RNA from 1 species